rnacentral:snRNA from 1 species
GUUCAGCAGUACAUGUCCUGAAAUUUGAGUGACACAGAGAAGACUGUCAUGGUCCCUCUGCAAGGAUAACAUGGACAUUUGUCAAGUGUUUCACAUUGUA